GGCUGCAGGUCCCGAGCCCUGCCGCGCGGGAGGCGGCUGAGGCCCCGUGAGAAUUCGAGCGCCGCAGGGGCAGGCUGGCAGUGCUGGGGGACCCGGUGCACUCUCCGCAGCUGCUGGCUCGGGUGCUAAGCCCCUCACUGCCUCGGGCCAGCGGUGCCGACCCGCCGCUCCAAGUGCGGGGCGGGCGGAGCCCGCGCCCACCUGGAACUCGCGCGGGCCCGCCAGCGCCAACCGCAGCCGCGGUUCCCGCCCGCGCCUCUCCCUCCACACCUCCCCGCAAGCAGAGGGAGCCGGCUCCGGCCUUGGCCAGCCCAGAGACAGGCUCCCACAGUGCAGCGGCGGGCUGAAGGGCUCCUCAAGCACUGCCAGAGUGGACACCGAGGCCGAGGAGACGCCAAGAGCGAGUGAGUGCUGCUAGCAGUGAAACAAGCUUCUGGUUCAAGAGUUUCUUCAGGUUCCACUACGGGCUGUUCUUCUACAGGUGCGCCGAUGUCCACAGUGCUACCUUCUGAUGAGCUACUGCUUUCAUUCAGUUUCUGCUGACUUAAUAUGUGAGCUGACAGAAUGCAGAGACCACGUUGUAUAUGAAGCAUCCACUUUGCCUUGUACACCAGGGCAUUCAAUAACCACUUAAUAACUACAACCCUGAUGAUCCGAUUCACUACUAAAGUCUUCCGUGUUUAAAUUUUCAAAGUCAGAUUCUCCUACAGCAAUUGGUACAGUCACAGUAAGACUGGGGUUGUUUAUGAAUGACAUGUAAUCACUUUCAUCAAUAAUGUAUUUUUCAACACUGCUGCCAGUUCCUAUACCACUUGUAGUUCCAUUUACAUCUUUAAGAUAGUCAAGAUCUUUCCCAAUUUCUGCUGUAUGAUUGGACAUACAACUGUCUUUCUUGUUGUUUAGAUCAUCAAGUGGUUUAAUUUCAUCUAAAAUCUUUUGUUUCCUAAUGAAGGACUGUUGAAUAAAUUCAUAUAUUUUUCUUUUCACAUAAGCUACUCCUUUGUGCAUCCUAUCCACAGCAAUUUGGAGAUUAUUCAUUUCAUUAUCA
rnacentral:lncRNA from 1 species